CCCUUAGAUGUCCGGGGCCGCACGCGCGCUACAAUGGAUGAAUCAACGCGUCAUCCUGGCCCGAAAGGGUUGGGGAACCGCUGAACCUCAUCCGUGGUUGGGAUUGGGGUUUGUAAUUAUUCCCCAUGAACUAGGAAUUCCCAGUAAGCGCGAGUCAUAAGCUCGCGUUGAUUACGUCCCUGCCCUUUGUACACACCGCCCGUCGCUACUACCGAUUGGAUGGUUUAGCGAGAACUUUGGACCGGAGCUCGGGUGGUCAGCAAUGGCCGCCCGAGACAUACUGGGAAAUCGCUCCAGCUUGAUCAUCUAGAGGAAGUAAAAGUCGUAACA
rnacentral:rRNA from 1 species